GACGAACGCUGGCGGCGUGCUUAACACAUGCAAGUCGAACGGAAAGGCCCUGCUUUUGUGGGGUGCUCGAGUGGCGAAGGGGUGAGUAACACGCGAGUAACCUGCCCUUGACUUUGGGAUAACUUCAGGAAACUGGGGCUAAUACCGGAUAGGAGCUCCUGCUGCAUGGUGGGGGUUGGAAAGAUUCGGCGGUUGGGGAUGGACUCGCGGCUUAUCAGCUUGUUGGUGGGGUAGUGGCUUACCAAGGCUUUGACGGGUAGCCGGCCUGAGAGGGUGACCGGCCACAAUAGGACUGAGAUACGGCCCAGACUCCUACGGGAGGCAGCAGUGGGGAAUAUUGCAGAAUGGGCGGAAGCCUGAUGCAGCAACGCCGCGUGCGGGAUGACGGCCUUCGGGUUGUAAACCGCUUUCGCCUGUGACGAAGCGUGAGUGACGGUAAUGGGUAAAGAAGCACCGGCUAACUACGUG
rnacentral:rRNA from 1 species